AUGAACGCUAGCUACAGGCUUAACACAUGCAAGUCGAGGGGCAGCAUGAACUUAGCUUGCUAAGUUUGAUGGCGACCGGCGCACGGGUGAGUAACACGUAUCCAACCUGCCGAUGACUCGGGGAUAGCCUUUCGAAAGAAAGAUUAAUACCCGAUGGCAUAGUUCUUCCGCAUGGUGGAACUAUUAAAGGAUUUCGGUCAUCGAUGGGGAUGCGUUCCAUUAGGUUGUUGGCGGGGUAACGGCCCACCAAGCCUUCGAUGGAUAGGGGUUCUGAGAGGAAGGUCCCCCACAUUGGAACUGAGACACGGUCCAAACUCCUACGGGAGGCAGCAGUGAGGAAUAUUGGUCAAUGGACGAGAGUCUGAACCAGCCAAGUAGCGUGAAGGAUGACUGCCCUAUGGGUUGUAAACUUCUUUUAUACGGGAAUAAAGUGAGGCACGUGUGCCUUUUUGUAUGUACCGUAUGAAUAAGGAUCGGCUAACUCCGUGCCAGCAGCCGCGGUAAUACGGAGGAUCCGAGCGUUAUCCGGAUUUAUUGGGUUUAAAGGGAGCGUAGGCGGACGCUUAAGUCAGUUGUGAAAGUUUGCGGCUCAACCGUAAAAUUGCAGUUGAUACUGGGUGUCUUGAGUACAGUAGAGGCAGGCGGAAUUCGUGGUGUAGCGGUGAAAUGCUUAGAUAUCACGAAGAACUCCGAUUGCGAAGGCAGCCUGCUGGACUGUAACUGACGCUGAUGCUCGAAAGUGUGGGUAUCAAACAGGAUUAGAUACCCUGGUAGUCCACACAGUAAACGAUGAAUACUCGCUGUUUGCGAUAUACAGUAAGCGGCCAAGCGAAAGCGUUAAGUAUUCCACCUGGGGAGUACGCCGGCAACGGUGAAACUCAAAGGAAUUGACGGGGGCCCGCACAAGCAGUGGAGUAUGUGGUUUAAUUCGAAGCAACGCGAAGAACCUUACCAAGGCUUGACAUAUACAGGAAUAUUUAAGAGAUUAAAUAGCUCUUCGGAGUCUGUAUACAGGUGGUGCAUGGUUGUCGUCAGCUCGUGUCGUGAGAUGUUGGGUUAAGUCCCGCAACGAGCGCAACCCCUGUCCUUAGUAGCCAGCGGUUCGGCCGGGCACUCUAGGGAGACUGCCAGGGAUAACCUGGAGGAAGGUGGGGAUGACGUCAAAUCAUCAUGCCCCUUAUGACUUGGGCUACACACGUGCUACAAUGGCGUAAACAAAGGGAGGCAAAGCCGCGAGGUGGAGCAAAUCCCAAAAAUAACGUCUCAGUUCGGACUGCAGUCUGCAACUCGACUGCACGAAGCUGGAAUCGCUAGUAAUCGCGAAUCAGAAUGUCGCGGUGAAUACGUUCCCGGGCCUUGUACACACCGCCCGUCACACCAUGAGAGUUGGGGAUACCCGAAGCCUGUGAGCCAACAGUUAAAUGAGGCAGCAGUCGAAGGUAGAAUCAAUGAUUGGGGUG
rnacentral:rRNA from 1 species